UACGUAGGGUGCAAGCGUUGUCCGGAAUUAUUGGGCGUAAAGAGCUCGUAGGCGGUCUGUCGCGUCGGAUGUGAAAAUCCAGGGCUCAACCCUGGACCUGCAUUCGAUACGGGCAGACUAGAGUUCGGUAGGGGAGACUGGAAUUCCUGGUGUAGCGGUGAAAUGCGCAGAUAUCAGGAGGAGCACCGGUGGCGAAGGCGGGUCUCUGGGCCGAAACUGACGCUGAGGAGCGAAAGCGUGGGGAGCAAACAGG
rnacentral:rRNA from 1 species